GAGAUGGACCCGCGGCGCAUUAGCUAGUUGGUAAGGUAACGGCUUACCAAGGCAACGAUGCGUAGCCGACCUGAGAGGGUGAUCGGCCACAUUGGAACUGAGACACGGUCCAGACUCCUACGGGAGGCAGCAGUGGGGAAUAUUGCGCAAUGGGGGAAACCCUGACGCAGCAACGCCGCGUGGGUGAUGAAGGUCUUCGGAUUGUAAAGCCCUGUUUUCUAGGACGAUAAUGACGGUACUAGAGGAGGAAGCCACGGCUAACUACGUGCCAGCAGCCGCGGUAAUACGUAGGUGGCGAGCGUUGUCCGGAUUUACUGGGCGUAAAGGGUGCGUAGGCGGAUGUUUAAGUGGGAUGUGAAAUCCCCGGGCUUAACCUGGGGGCUGCAUUCCAAACUGGAUAUCUAGAGUGCAGGAGAGGAAAGCGGAAUUCCUAGUGUAGCGGUGAAAUGCGUAGAGAUUAGGAAGAACACCAGUGGCGAAGGCGGCUUUCUGGACUGUAACUGACGCUGAGGCACGAAAGCGUGGGUAGCAAACAGGAUUAGAUACCCUGGUAGUCCACGCCGUAAACGAUGGAUACUAGGUGUAGGGGGUAUCAACUCCCCCUGUGCCGCAGUUAACACAAUAAGUAUCCCGCCUGGGGAGUACGGUCGCAAGAUUAAAACUCAAAGGAAUUGACGGGGGCCCGCACAAGCAGCGGAGCAUGUGGUUUAAUUCGAAGCAACGCGAAGAACCUUACCUGGACUUGACAUCCCUUGCAUAGCCUAGAGAUAGGUGAAGCCCUUCGGGGCAAGGAGACAGGUGGUGCAUGGUUGUCGUCAGCUCGUGUCGUGAGAUGUUAGGUUAAGUCCUGCAACGAGCGCAACCCUUGUUAUUAGUUGCUACCAUUAAGUUGAGCACUCUAAUGAGACUGCCUGGGUAACCAGGAGGAAGGUGGGGAUGACGUCAAAUCAUCAUGCCCCUUAUGUCCAGGGCUACACACGUGCU
rnacentral:rRNA from 1 species